UACGUAGGUGGCAAGCGUUGUCCGGAUUUACUGGGUGUAAAGGGCGUGCAGCCGGAGAGACAAGUCAGAUGUGAAAUCCACGGGCUCAACCCGUGAACUGCAUUUGAAACUGUUUCCCUUGAGUGCCGGAGAGGUAGGCGGAAUUCCUAGUGUAGCGGUGAAAUGCGUAGAUAUUAGGAGGAACACCAGUGGCGAAGGCGGCCUACUGGACGGUGACUGACGCUGAGGCUCGAAAGCGUGGGGAGCAAACAGG
rnacentral:rRNA from 1 species